rnacentral:tRNA from 1 species
CUUAAGUUAGCAAAAUAGUGCCUUCGACUUAGAAUCGAAUCAUAAGACCUCUCUUACUUAUGU